GCAGCACCAACAACAACAACAAUAACGGCGCAACGUAACAUAGAGAGUCAAAGAGAGCGUGGGGUUAGGAAGUACAGCAGUUGAAAACAGCAACAGCAACAACAAAGAGUAAAGUAUAUUAGUUUAGUUGUUGUUGCUAUUAUUGCCUGUUGAAUGUGUUGUGCGCGCAGCACCGUUAACUUGAAAUGUUGCUUGGGCCAAGAAGCGAAGGUAGAGAACGGGGGCCACGAAAUGGGAGCAACGACAGCGAAGCAGCAGGCAAAAGGAAUCUAGAUGCUUUAAAUGCGCGCCCAGACAAACAAAUGCAAAUGGCACACGCCCUACGCCUCCGCAUCUGUGUGUGAGUGUGUCUGUGUGUGUCGGUGUGUGUGUGUGAGUGAGUGUUUGUAAAGUAGGCAAUCGCAGCUUGUGGUGCAAUCGUUACCGAAUAGAUGAGAUGCGCAACAAAAGCACCAGCAGCAACCGCCGCAGCAGCAACAGCAGCAACAGCAGCACCAGCAGCGACAACGGACAGCGGUAAUAGAAACAACAGACAAUAUAACAGAAAACUAUAAAAACGUCGUCGCAGUCGCGAAUUAUUACGACGCCGCAAAAUGGGGCGGUGGGUUACAAAAUGUGUGCAAAGAGCAAAGCAAACACACACACACAAACGAACAAACGAACGAACCGAACGCAUAGGCGAGGGAGCACGAGCAAGUUCCUCUCUAGCUUGUGUUCGCUCUCUUUCUUUCUUUCUUUCUUUCUCUAUCUAGCUGCAUCGAUGCCUCGCUGGGUGCAUUUGUCUGCUUUCUGUGUGUUUGUAGCAAGGCGCGAGCAAGCAAAGGGGGUGUGUUUAGCAGCCUCAGAUGCGGUAAGCAAUUGAAUAAGCAUUUGGUGUUUUUUCAAUGCCUUUGAAUAACAAUAACAAUAACAAAUAAUCAUAAAUCGCGAUUCGUUAACUAUUCGUAAUCGAUAACAUGCUGGGCUGUCUCUUUAGGUGAAGAGCAUUGCACAAUAAAUCAAAUUGCACACACACACAAGUACAUAAAUAAGCAUGUUAAGUAUAUAGAACAUAUGCAGACAAUCAGUCAGCCAAGCAGUCAUAUAACACACACUGCUUAUAGACACAUUUUGUCAUUUGCUUUUAUAAGUUUCUCCAACAUGCAUUAAACGAUUAUUUCUUCUCUCUCUUUUAAUUAAAUUAUCGAUUGCUGCUGCUACUGCAUCGCAACUUCAAAGUAAUAAGCGCAUAGGCAUAUGGUUGUAUGUGUGCAUGUGUAUGUAACAUGCAUAUACAUAUGUAUGUAUGUACAUACAAACAUACUUACAAUUGUAUGUAUGUAUGUACAUAUGCAAGCGUCUCACUGGAGAAAACAUGUCAAACAAAGCAAAACGAAGCAAAAACGGAAACGCAGCACACGAAACAGCAGCAGCAGCGCCAACAAUGACGUCGAAGUCAACGUCAACGUCAGCGUCGCGCUAGCAGCAGCGACAGCGACCAACUCUAUGCCAAGCAGUAGCGAAUCAAAAGCCAAAAAGGAAAAAACUGAGAUUGCUAUGAAUUAAGUUUUUGGCUGCGCGCAAAAAUAAGCAACAACAACAACAAAAACGAAGAGCUUCAAAUGUCUGAAUGUCAAGCGCGCUGAAGCAAGUGAAACAAAGAGGAAGCGCAACAACUACAGCAAAAAGAAAGCCAAGGCGGCGCUAUGUCCAUCUCGCACUAGAUGAUGAUAGAUGACAGUUGUUGGUCGGGGUGCGAGCUAUCCAAAAGGGAGGGGCAAAAAUUGAAGUUGACUCGCUUCAAGCUUGACACGCGCGUACGUAGGCAAGGCAAAAUCCAAAAGGCAAUAACAAAAAAAAAAAAUAAUACAACGUAACAAUGUUUAACAGUAAAGCCAAUGGCAAAGUCAGUGAAAUAAAUGUACAACUUCAUACGA